rnacentral:rRNA from 1 species
GAUGAACGCUGGCGGCGUGCUUAACACAUGCAAGUCGAACGGAAAGGCCCAAGCUUGCUUGGGUACUCGAGUGGCGAACGGGUGAGUAACACGUGGGUGAUCUGCCCUGCACUUCGGGAUAAGCCUGGGAAACUGGGUCUAAUACCGGAUAGGACCACAUUUUGGAUGGUGUGGUGGAAAGUUUUUCGGUGUGGGAUGAGCUCGCGGCCUAUCAGCUUGUUGGUGGGGUAAUGGCCUACCAAGGCGUCGACGGGUAGCCGGCCUGAGAGGGUGUACGGCCACAUUGGGACUGAGAUACGGCCCAGACUGCUACGGGAGGCAGCAGUGGGGAAUAUUGCACAAUGGGCGCAAGCCUGAUGCAGCGACGCCGCGUGGGGGAUGACGGCCUUCGGGUUGUAAACUCCUUUCGCUAGGGACGAAGCGUUAUGUGACGGUACCUGGAGAAGAAGCACCGGCUAACUACGUG